GGUAUCCUGUGUUGCUUACCCGCGGAAAGGAAUUCGUCGGCCUUGGUGUCCCCAUCCGCCUUGCACCCCCAAAAGGUGCGGGCGGACGCGAGGCGGGCUCCGUGUUCCCCGCGCGCCGGGUGCGUUCGCGCCCGGCCGUUGUGGCCCAUGGGGUCUCCGCCCGUGCUCUCGGAUGCGGAACGUUGUGUGUGCGGGCGUGGGGGGGUCUCGGCCUCCGCCCGUCCGAGCGGCACUUCGCACUGUCCCUCGACGCGAACGACCGCCGCUCCCGUCUUGACCGGCCGACCGGGCCCCCGCCGCGGGGCUCCGGGAGGGCGGCUCAUGCGGGAGCCGGCGUCGGACAGGAAUGC
rnacentral:misc_RNA from 1 species